GCAGUGUGGGGAAGUGUUCCUGAACUCAACUUGCAUAAUUUAAGGAUGGACAAGAGCAGAACUUGUCAAAGCUGCGAGGUGAGAAUUGGUCACUCUCUGAGUGAAGUGGAGAGGCAGCAUUUGGCCAGAAGGACAGAGACUGUUCUACAGUGCCUGAAGCAGCAUGGCAUA